AGUCGUCUGCGUGUGGCAGUAUCGUAGCCAAUGAGGUUUAUCUGAGGCGCGAUUAUUGCUAAUUGAAAAAUAUACAUUACAGUUUAAUAUUAGCAAUAUCUAUGGUCUUUAUUUAGGAGUUUGUUCCUGCUUUUGUGG